AGUGAACGCUGGCGGUAUGCCUAACACAUGCAAGUCGAACGGCAGCACAGUAAGAGCUUGCUCGUACGGGUGGCGAGUGGCGGACGGGUGAGGAAGACAUCGGAAUCUACUUUUUCGUGGGUGAUAACGGAGGGAAACUUAGGCUAAUACGGCAUACGACCUACGGGAGAAAGCAGGGGAUCGUCGGACCUGGCGAGAUGGAAGGAGCCGAUGUCGGAUUAGCGAGUUGGCGGGGUAAAGGCCCACCAAGGCGACGAGCCGUAGCUGGUCUGAGAGGAUGAUCAGCCACGCUGGAACUGAGACACGGUCCAGCCUCCUGCGGGAGGCAGCAGUGGGGGAUACUGGACAGUGGGCGCAAUCCUGAUCCAGCCAUACCGCGUGGGUGCAGAAGGCCUUCGGGUUGUAUAGCCCUUUUGUUGGGCAAGAAAUGCAGCAGGUUAAUACCCCGCUGUUCUGACGGUACCCAACGAAUAAGCACCGGCUAACUUCGUG
rnacentral:rRNA from 1 species